GACAGAGGUGCCGAGCGUUAGGCGGAAUCACUGGGCUUAAAGCGUGUGUAGGCGGGCGGGCAAGUACCUUGUGAAAUCCCACGGCUCAACCGUGGAACUGCUUGGUAUACUGCUUAUCUUGGGCCAUCUAGGGGCGAGCGGAACAAACGGUGGAGCGGUGAAAUGCGUAGAUAUCGUUUGGAACGCCAAUGGUGAAAACAGCUCGCUGGGGAUGUGCCGACGCUGAGAUACGAAAGCCAGGGGAGCGAACGGG
rnacentral:rRNA from 1 species